rnacentral:rRNA from 1 species
CAUUAAAGAAUACACGGCUUCCUAGCCCUAUUCUCACCCUUUGUUUAUUUACUUUGUUGCUUUGGCGGCGCCAGCUUCGGCUGGGCAAGUCCGUCAAGGGCCCAACUCUUGAAUCUCUGCUGUCUGAGUACUAUCUAAUAGUUAAAACUUUCAACAACGGAUCUCUUGGUUCUGGCAUCGAUGAAGAACGCAGCGAAAUGCGAUAAGUAAUGUGAAUUGCAGAAUUCAGUGAAUCAUCGAAUCUUUGAACGCACAUUGCGCCCUCUGGUAUUCCGGGGGGCAUGCCUGUUCGAGCGUCAUUACAACCCUCAAGCUCUGCUUGGUGUUGGGCUCGCCCUGUAGGGCCUGCCUCAAAGUCAGUGGCGGCACCGUCUGACCCUAAGCGUAGUAAUACUUGCCGCUUAUUGGAGUCGGGCGGCUGCUUGUCAACAACCCCC